GCACCACCGAGUCCAUCGCACUCGAUUCGUCCGCCGCAGUCUCCGGUGGCGCAGUAAAAUUUUCCGUGCUGGUAAUUGCAGCCGGUACGAGCCCAGAUUCGGCCGGACCAGUGAGCGUUGGGAGCGGGGAAAGAGCGGUGGGUAAGUGAGUGAAGGGUAAAUCCACCUCGUUCGAGAACAGGGUGACCGGCAUUGGGUUGAAUUGCGGGCCAGAUGGUGUAAGGACAGUUGUUAACUAGGGUUAAAAUGAAAUUAGGGUUAGUGGAUUGGGAGAGAGAUAAAAGGGUGAAGAGGAGAGAGAGGGGAAGUAGAA
rnacentral:misc_RNA from 1 species